rnacentral:lncRNA from 1 species
AAAAUCAUUCAUUCAUUUUGGGAGAUGAAAUAUACAUUUCAUCAAUCCCCUAAAUCCAAUGAUUUUAAUCCAAUAAAAGUCAAAUCAACCUUGACCAAGGCCCAAGCAAAUAGUAAAACAUCACAAGACCAUAAAAAUGGCUCAACAUAAUUUUUACACAAUUAAUCAAUUAAAAAUCAAAUUAAAAAUGCAUUAAAAUACAAAUUAGUUUGGUCAAAACCUAAAAUCUCUUCAAAACACCAAAUAAAUGGCCAAG